rnacentral:rRNA from 1 species
UUCCUACGGGAGGCAGCAGUAGGGAAUCUUCGGCAAUGGGGGCAACCCUGACCGAGCAACGCCGCGUGAGUGAAGAAGGUUUUCGGAUCGUAAAGCUCUGUUGUAAGAGAAGAACGGGUAUGAGAGUGGAAAAUUCAUACUGUGACGGUAUCUUACCAGAAAGGGACGGCUAACUACGUGCCAGCAGCCGCGGUAAUACGUAGGUCCCGAGCGUUGUCCGGAUUUAUUGGGCGUAAAGCGAGCGCAGGUGGUUACAUAAGUCUGAAGUAAAAGGCAGUGGCUCAACCAUUGUAUGCUUUGGAAACUGUGUAACUUGAGUGCAGAAGGGGAGAGUGGAAUUCCAUGUGUAGCGGUGAAAUGCGUAGAUAUAUGGAGGAACACCGGUGGCGAAAGCGGCUCUCUGGUCUGUAACUGACACUGAGGCUCGAAAGCGUGGGGAGCAAACAGGAUUAGAUACCCUGGUAGUCCA